rnacentral:lncRNA from 1 species
UCGGUCUCCAUCCCUCUCCGAGGCCGCGAGAACCCACUGCCUGGAUGAGCAGGGUUGCCUUUAGCGGCCGUUCAGGGAACACUGAACUCAGCACUUCUGGCACCGAGACCCUCGACCCUCGACCCUCGACCCUAGGAGGAGCCCCUUCUUCAAGUCUUCAGACACCAGCCGGAUGUCCUAUGAUUCGAUUCGAUUCUGGCACUAACCACCCAGAGUUUGCACAGACCCAAGGUUAGGGGGUCCCCUGCGUCGGACGUCCGUUGGAAGUCCCAGGUUGUCACCUGGGCUUCUGACCGACUGGCUAUAAACGGGGGGCGGGGGGGGGCGGAUAUCCUCAACCCCUCCUCAGCUUGGGUGACUUGCUCAAACUGCUCACAGAACUCAAGUUACUUUCCUUAUUAGCACCGGCCGUAAAGGACACAAGCCAGGAACAGCCAAGUGGAAGAGAUCCCUGGGGCGGAGCAUGGGGGGGAGGGGGGAGAGGGGCUCAGAGCUUCUGGCCCUCCCGGCACCCCCAUACGAUCCCCAGGCAGGAAGCUCCCCAAACCCCAUUUUUCAGGGCUUUUUUAAACGGAUGUUCCAUUAAGUUCGCAGGACUGAG